rnacentral:rRNA from 1 species
GACGAACGCUGGCGGCGUGCUUAACACAUGCGAGUCGAACGGAAAGGCCCUGCUUUUGUGGGGUGCUCGAGUGGCGAACGGGUGAGUAACACGUGAGUAACCUGCCCUUGACUUUGGGAUAACUUCAGGAAACUGGGGCUAAUACCGGAUAGGAGCUCCUGCUGCAUGGUGGGGGUUGGAAAGUUUCGGCGGUUGGGGAUGGACUCGCGGCUUAUCAGCUUGUUGGUGGGGUAGUGGCUUACCAAGGCUUUGACGGGUAGCCGGCCUGAGAGGGUGACCGGCCACAUUGGGACUGAGAUACGGCCCAGACUCCUACGGGAGGCAGCAGUGGGGAAUAUUGCACAAUGGGCGGAAGCCUGAUGCAGCAACGCCGCGUGCGGGAUGACGGCCUUCGGGUUGGAAACCGCUUUCGCCUGUGACGAAGCGUGAGUGACGGUAAUGGGGAAAGAAGCACCGGCCAACUACGU